UAAAGGAUCAUAGGACAACAAAUCCUUUUAAAUUAAUUAUUUUACAGAUUCAAUUGGAAAGGGUUUCUAUUCAAUUUAGACGUUUUCUCAUCACUACAAGUUAAGGUACGAUCUCUACGUUAAGUUGUUGUUAUAUGAAUUAAAUUUUCAUUUAGGCAUGCUAUUCGUUAUAUUUGCUCAUGCAAUAUAUGAAGUGAUUUUAAGAGUUUCUCUUAAAUUUUGAUGCAAGAAUAAUUAUAUAUAUUUAAAACUGAUGGUCGCAAAAGCUCAUCGGGACUUUAAGUAUAUAUGUUAAACUGAAACUUUAAGUAAAUCACUUGAUCAUCAAUUUGCUUAUUUAUGAAGGCAACAUCUAAGGAUGCAUGAUCAAACAUAUUAUUAUUAUUAUGUUAAUAUAGCAUAUGUUGCCUACUGAGUAUUUCUUUGAGAUACUUACUCCUAUUUAACCUUUUCGGAGUAAUCGGAGAUCAAGCGGUAGUUCGGCAUGAAUGGCAUAUGUUAUUUUUAAAGAAAUUUAUUUCUUAUGCUGAUCACUUAAUGUUUAAUAAUUAUUGUGGAAUCCCAGAAAUUGUAGUUUAUAUUCAUGUUUUGAGACAGAAAAUUUUAAUCUUUAAACUGGUGUUUUUUAGUAAAUUUCUAGAAUUUUGCCACUGUUUCAAAAAUUGGGUUAUUGUCGGCAUAUUUAGAAUUUUAGCAUGUUUAAUUGUAAAAUGAUUUCUUGUGAGUUAUUUAUCAUAUGCAACUGAAAAGAGGUUGAUCGGAGUCCGGUAGAAUUUACUAUACCAAUUUUAUCAAACUGUGAUAGUCAAAUCUGGAAAACACAAACCAGCUUGUUCGAAAAUAAAUUUUGAGCUUCAAACGUGGUUGUCAAGAACCCAAAUUUUUAUAUGUCUUACUUAUAAGAGUUUUAUACUUUUUUGUAAAAUUUCAUAAGUUUUCGUCAUGUUUUGCUAGGUUAAAUAAUUUUUGCAAACUCACUGCACAACGGUGGAAAGCUAUUUUAGCUUGCUGUUUUUUUUUUUUUUUUUUAUAAAAACUCAUUCCAAGUUAUUUUGUUCCGUAAUAUUCCUAAGUUUAUAUGUUUAAAAAAUAGGAGAAAGAGAAAAAAAAUGUUUUGAUUAUAUAAUUUGAUUAAAUAAAUUCUAUUUUAAAAACUUUCUUUAAUCUUGUAUUUUGGAGAUUAACGUUAAAGAACUCAUGCUUGGUAACGCGUUGGGUUAUUAGAAUUUAGGGCAUUAUGGUUGGUAUUAGAGCGCAGUUUACCUUUCUAUAGACUUGCGAAACAUAAGCUUGAUUUCCAAAAAUUUAGGAAUUGUGUGUCAAAUAAAUUAUUUUUUUACCAUCAUGCCUAUUGUCGCAAAUUGUCAACUUUGAGGUAAAGAAAGUUUUAAGAAAUUUAUGCUGCACUAUAAUAUUUGAAAUGUUAAUAUGUGAUUUUAUAUAUUUAAAUCACGAGAAUUUAUGUUUAAGGAAAUCAAAUUUGAGAAUAUGAUAGAGAUUUUUUGAGUUUUGAGAACAUAACUAAAUUAUGUAUGUUCAUUUUAGUCCUCGAAAAAGAUAUUCCCACCUAUUUGGACUUUAUAAUUGAUUUGGCACAGAUGGCACGGACUAAGAGAACAUGUAGGAAGAUGCGUUCAAUGAUACCUCGUCGAUAUGAGAUCAUGAGGCUGUACGAAGAGUAUCAGUGGAAUCUGAUGCAUUAUAUGGGCCAGCACAUUAGGGAAAUGCUAGUAAGGUCGAGAGAAGUAAGGCAACUAGGAUAUAUGGUUACUAGCCGUCGGGCCACCCACUUCCUUAUUGAUACAUUGCCAGAAGAAUGGCUAGAGAUGGACAAAUCAAUUUACAAUCAUCUGUGGAGAGUUAGGCUAUACCCAUUUUACCUCGGGAGAUUGACUAUGAGGCUUUUUGCACACAGCUGACAGCAUAGUGGGAGCAAGUCCGAGAUGAUGCACUUGUUUAUCAUGAAGGCGAUUGAAUCCUAUUGAGAUGUACAUUUGUGAAGAUGCACCUCCAAUUAUUUCAGACGAUAAGUUGCAGUCUUCCAAGAAUUUAGGUUUCACGGCGGUUGGAUUGACAACGAUGAUGUCAUGAAAGAGUAGUAGCAGGGAUUUUUUUUAGUAGAUUUUAUUAGGUUUGGAUCAUGUUGAUGUCGAGUAAGAUUUCCUUUUUGCUUUUCAGUUGAUUAGUACUAGAUGUUUUUUCAUAGAUUGUAUUCCCUAUAAAGGAUUUAGUUAAUAAUAAAAUUGGUAAUUUCCUAAUUUUAGUCUGUCAUUUUAUUGUGCAAUGUAUGAUUUUCUGAAAGAUUACAAACCUAUUCCAUUUUUGUAUGAAGGGAAAUGGUACCAAUAUCACACACGAGAGCAAUUAGAGAUUGCAACAAGCGGUGGAAGAAAUGAGGUGGGUCUUAAUGGCACAACUACUCCAACAGCACCA
rnacentral:lncRNA from 1 species